UGGGGAAUUUUGGACAAUGGGCGAAAGCCUGAUCCAGCAAUGCCGCGUGUGUGAAGAAGGCCUUCGGGUUGUAAAGCACUUUUGUCCGGAAAGAAAUCCUUGGCUCUAAUACAGUCGGGGGAUGACGGUACCGGAAGAAUAAGCACCGGCUAACUACGUGCCAGCAGCCGCGGUAAUACGUAGGGUGCAAGCGUUAAUCGGAAUUACUGGGCGUAAAGCGUGCGCAGGCGGUUUGCUAAGACCGAUGUGAAAUCCCCGGGCUCAACCUGGGAACUGCAUUGGUGACUGGCAGGCUAGAGUAUGGCAGAGGGGGGUAGAAUUCCACGUGUAGCAGUGAAAUGCGUAGAGAUGUGGAGGAAUACCGAUGGCGAAGGCAGCCCCCUGGGCCAAAUACUGACGCUCAUGCACGAAAAGCGUGGGGAGCAAAACAGGAUUAGAUACCCUGGUAGUCCACGCCCUAAAACGAUGUCAACUAGUUGUUGGGGAUUCAUUUCCUUAGUAACGUAGCUAACGCGUGAAGUUGACCGCCUGGGGAGUACGGUCGC
rnacentral:rRNA from 1 species